GACGAACGCUGGCGGCGUGCUUAACACAUGCAAGUCGAACGAUGAACCACUUCGGUGGGGAUUAGUGGCGAACGGGUGAGUAACACGUGGGCAAUCUGCCCUUCACUCUGGGACAAGCCCUGGAAACGGGGUCUAAUACCGGAUACCACUCUCGCGGGCAUGUGCGAGGGUUGAAAGCUCCGGCGGUGAAGGAUGAGCCCGCGGCCUAUCAGCUUGUUGGUGAGGUAAGGCUCACCAAGGCGACGACGGGUAGCCGGCCUGAGAGGGCGACCGGCCACACUGGGACUGAGACACGGCCCAGACUCCUACGGGAGGCAGCAGUGGGGAAUAUUGCACAAUGGGCGAAAGCCUGAUGCAGCGACGCCGCGUGAGGGAUGACGGCCUGGUGUAAC
rnacentral:rRNA from 1 species